AUUGAACGCUGGCGGCAGGCCUAACACAUGCGAGUCGAACGGUCACACGAAACCACUGGCUGUUUCGCGGACGCGGGGCGGGCGCGAGCGACAUGUCUGGAACACUGCAUGAUGGAUGGGGCUACUUCCAGGAACCGGUGGCUAAAACUGAUUAACGUUGCAACAGCAAGGACGGGGACCUACAGGCCCUUUUCCAGCGGCUUAGCCCCGGUGCGCUUAGCCAGUAGGUGGGGUAAAGGCUCACCUAGGCCACGAUCCCUAGCUGGUAUGAGAGGAUGAACGGCCACACUGGAACUGAGACACGGUCCAGACUCCUACGGGAGGCAGCAGUGGGGAAUAUUGCACAAUGGGCGCAAGCCUGACGCAGCCAUGCCGCGUGUAUGAAGAAGGCCUUCGGGUUGUAAAAUACUUUCAGCGGGGAGGAACGUAGUAAUAUUUAUAUCUUCGCUUAUUGACGUUACCCGCACAAAAAGCACCGGCUAACUCCGUG
rnacentral:rRNA from 1 species